rnacentral:rRNA from 1 species
CAGUCGCCGCGGGAAUACAGAGGGUGCAAGCGUUAAUCGGAAUUACUGGGCGUAAAGCGCGCGUAGGUGGUUUGUUAAGUUGGAUGUGAAAGCCCCGGGCUCAACCUGGGAACUGCAUCCAAAACUGGCAAGCUAGAGUACGGUAGAGGGUGGUGGAAUUUCCUGUGUAGCGGUGAAAUGCGUAGAUAUAGGAAGGAACACCAGUGGCGAAGGCGACCACCUGGACUGAUACUGACACUGAGGUGCGAAAGCGUGGGGAGCAAACAGGAUUAGAUACCCCAGUAGUCCCUGUCUCUUAUAC